rnacentral:rRNA from 2 species
CCUACGGGAGGCAGCAGUGUCUUAUGGGGGGCAGCAGUGGGGAAUUUGGCACAAUCGGGGAAACCGAGAGGCAACGGCGCUGCGGGUGGUAAGAUUGCUUUUGGGUUGAAAAAAUGGGUUCACGGGGGAGCUAAUGACGGUACCCCAGGAGGAAGCCCCGGCUAACUACGUGCCAGCAGCCGCGGUAAUACGUAGGGGGCGAGCGUUGUCCGGAUUUAUUGGGUGUAAAGGGUGCGUAGGCGGGUUUUUAAGUCAGAUGUGAAAUCCCGGGGCUUAACCCCGGGAUUGCAUUUGAAACUGGAUGCCUUGAGUGCAGGAGAGGAAAGUGGAAUUCCUAGUGUAGCGGUGAAAUGCGUAGAUAUUAGGAGGAACACCAGUGGCGAAGGCGACUUUCUGGACCUAUAACUGACGCUGAGC